rnacentral:rRNA from 1 species
UCGGGUGACGAGCGGCGGACGGGUGAGUAAUGUCUGGGAAACUGCCUGAUGGAGGGGGAUAACUACUGGAAACGGUAGCUAAUACCGCAUAACGUCGCAAGACAAAGUGGGGACUUCGGCCCAUGCCAUCAGAUGUGCCCAGAUGGGAUUAGCUAGUAGGUGGGGUAAUGGCUCACCUAGCGACGAUCCCUAGCUGGUCUGAGAGGAUGACCAGCCACACUGGAACUGAGACACGGUCCAGACUCUACGGGAGGCAGCAGUGGGGAAUAUUGCACAAUGGGCAAGCCUAUACCAUCCGCGUGUAUGAAGA